rnacentral:rRNA from 1 species
GAUGAAUGCUGGCGGCGUGCCUAAUACAUGCAAGUCGAGCGAACAGACGAGGAGCUUGCUCCUCUGACGUUAGCGGCGGACGGGUGAGUAACACGUGGAUAACCUACCUAUAAGACUGGGAUAACUUCGGGAAACCGGAGCUAAUACCGGAUAAUAUAUUGAACCGCGUGGUUCAAUAGUGAAAGACGGUUUUGCUGUCACUUAUAGAUGGAUCCGCGCCGCAUUAGCUAGUUGGUAAGGUAACGGCUUACCAAGGCAACGAUGCGUAGCCGACCUGAGAGGGUGAUCGGCCACACUGGAACUGAGACACGGUCCAGACUCCUACGGGAGGCAGCAGUAGGGAAUCUUCCGCAAUGGGCGAAAGCCUGACGGAGCAACGCCGCGUGAGUGAUGAAGGUCUUCGGAUCGUAAAACUCUGUUAUUAGGGAAGAACAAAUGUGUAAGUAACUAUGCACGUCUUGACGGUACCUAAUCAGAAAGCCACGGCUAACUACGUG